GGCUGGAGUGCAGUGGUGUGAUCUCGGCUCACUGCAAGCUCCGCCUUCCAGGUCCAAGCCAUUCUCCUGCCUCAGCCUCCUAAGUAGCUGGGACUACAGGCACCCGCCACCACGCCCGGCUAAUUUUUUGUAUUUUUAGUAGAGAUGGGGUUUCACCAUGUUAGCCAGGAUGGUCUCGAUCUCCUGACCUCGUGAUCUGCCCGUCUCGGCCUCCCAAAGUGCUGGGAUUACAGGCGUGAGCCACCGUGCCAGGCCAGUAGUUUCUGAAAAAGUUGAACACAUAACCCACCAGACAUUCCAUUUCUAGGUAUUUGCCCAACUGAAAUGAAACGUAUGUGUGAAUGAAAAUGAAAGACUUGUACAUGAAUAUUUAGGGAAGCUUUAUUUGUAAUAGUUCAAAAGAGGAAACAACUCACAUUCCCAUCAACGGGUGGGUGGAUAAACAAAUUGUGAUACAGCAACACAGUGGAAUACUAUGCAGUACUAAAACAGUCAAACAUGCAACAUUACAGACAAAUCUAAAAAUAAUCAUGCUGAGUGAAAGAAGGGAGACAACAGAAGAGUAAAUACUGUAUGAUUCUGCUUAUACAAAGUUGUAUAAUAUGCAAACUAAUCUAAGUGACAGAAAGCAGAAGAACUGUCGCCUGGGAUUAGGAAGGGAGGUAAGAAAAUUCUACAAAGGGUCACAAGGAAAUAGAGAGUGCACACGUUCACACAAUCUUCACUAUGGUAAUAGUUUCACAUGGGCCAUAACUCAAACUGUACACUUUAAAUGUGUGCAGUUUAUUGUACAUUAAUUAUACCUC
rnacentral:lncRNA from 10 species